AACGGUCUAUACCUGCGGUACCUGCGGAGGGAUCAUUAAUGAGAAACUGCCCCUCGCGGGUAGAUCUCCCACCCUUUGUAAACUUACCUUUGUUGCUUUGGCAGGCCCGUCUCCGGACCGCCGGCUUCGGCUGGCCAGUGCCUGCCAGAGGAUUCUAAAACUCUGUCUGUCAGUGUUGUCUGAGUCUAUAUACAAUCGUUAAAACUUUUAGCAAUGGAUCUCUAGAUCGGAAGAGCACAC
rnacentral:misc_RNA from 1 species